ACAGAGUUCACGCUCAUUGGCAGAGUCUUGAGACCCCGGCAGGGCGUGAUGCUGCAUAUAUACGCAGAGGACCAAAAUCAAGGUCUCAAUCAGAGUUGCUGUCUGACUCAUGGAUCCUGUGCUGGAUGGGGUGAGGGACUGGAAUAAAAUCAGCACACAGCAGCUCUCUUGGGGGGUCAACCCACAUGUCUUACAUUGGCAAGGCUGGCAGAAGGACUACAUGCCCUUGAUGAGGCCACUUUGAGACACACACACAUCCCUGCUCCGUUAAAGGGGAUCCAUGACCUUGUCAAUUCUCUGUCUCAGAUCAAAUAUAGCCAAGAUUAAAAGGGCUUCCAUGUCAGGCUGUUUCUGGACUUGUGGUUGUGUGAAUGAAUAGAUGGUGACUCCUGAACACAUCUUUAUAGAGGAUUGUUUUCCCUCAAAUCCAUCAUUUGAUAGAGAAAACA
rnacentral:lncRNA from 1 species